UGGUGGAGUGAUUUGUCUGCUUAAUUGCGGUAACGAACGAGACCUUAACCUGCUAAAUAGCCCGACCCGCUUUGGCGGGCCGCCGGCUUCUUAGAGGGACUAUCGGCUCAAGCCGAUGGAAGUUUGAGGCAAUAACA
rnacentral:rRNA from 1 species